rnacentral:sRNA from 1 species
GAGACAAAAUUGACUUUUGUGAGACAAAAUUUACUUUUGUGAGACAAAAUUGAAUUUGUCUCACAAAAUUGAUUUUUGUCUAACAAAAGUCAAUUUUGUCUCACAAAAGUCAAUUUUGUCUCACAAAAGUC